rnacentral:lncRNA from 1 species
AUUUUUCUCAUUUCAGAUUUCAUAAAUAAAAAGAAAAUUUCUUCAAACAUUUUUUUGAGAGGAUUAAUAUUCAACAGCAUAGUGAAUUGCUCAAAGGCAAACAAAAUAUUUUAAAUUCAUUAGAUCACGUUCAUUCUGUGUCCGAAACCUAUGCUGUGUCAACUAUUUAAUCACAAUCCAAAUUUAGAGCUGAAUCCAGCUUGAAUGUUGUGUCCAUAAUUGCCCCAACCGUUCAGGGUUCAACCUCUGCGGUCGUAUAAAGCUGCGCCCUGCGGAGCAUCUGGUUGUAAAUUUUUAGGAAAUAUUUUCCACUGUAAUUACUGGGCCAAGUUCAUUAUAGAUAGAGAUAAUUGUAGCAACAAGAAUGUUCAGUAAAGAAAGAUCUAC